AUGGGCUACCUGCCUGGGGAACACCUACCUCUGAGCAGUCACAGCCCCGCUGCAGGCCCUCGAAGAGCUCCUGACCGCAUAGCCCAGGCCUUGCCUCCUGCCCUCCGCCCUCCGCCCUCCGACCUCUGCCCUCCACCCUCUGCCCUCCAUCCUGGGACUGCGGCCCGAGCCCCCGCCCACCGCAGAGGUUUGGCGAAGGCCUGGGUCUCCGCCUGGAGCUCUCCCACUUUCCUCCUGCCUUUCUUCGGGCCUCAGGGCCAGGCAGGCUCCUUGGAGCUCCUUUCCUGCACGGCUCCCAUGGUAUUUGUGCAAUUGGUUGACGGGAGCCCAGGUCUGGGGCUCCAGGAGGGCAAGCAGUCGGCUUUAAAGCCCAGAACGGAGGUUCCGAAUCAUUUGGCGCAAGAAGGCAUUCUCCGAGCAGAAGGGGACUCGGGGCUGUUUUAUUUUCUAAAUGGGUCGCCGGGGACCGGGCUCCCUCUCGCCUACACGACGUGCUCCAAUCUCGUCCCCCUUUUCUGGGGCUCCGAGCUGGCAGCACGUGGCCACAAUUUGAGGAGAGGCUGCCUGGGAAUGAAGCCAUGACGAGGAAAGAUGGACAGAAACAGGAGAAAAGGAAUGAAGCACCUGGAUGGAGCUGUACCUGAAACCCAGGUGAGCUGAUACAUUCCCUUCUGCACAAGUCAGUUCAAACUGGGUUUCUGUACCGUCCAGUCAAAAGAUGCCUGAUUAAUGCAGGGUCUACGGCCCCAAAACAGUUUGCAGCCUUAGCCCCUUUUCCUGUCCGGUGGUUUCCUCUUAGGACAGUAAUUUGCAAGAGCAUUCACCAUAUUAGGAACUUUCCAUCACAUCCUUUGCAACUGGUUUCUCUGGUCGGCUGUGUACAUGUUUGCGUGUGUAUUCCUUUUUCUUUUUUGUCUUUUUGCCUUUUCUAGAGCCACUCCCACGGCACAUGGAGGUUCCCAGGCUAGGGGUCGAAUCGGAGCCGUAGCCACUGGCCUCCACCACAGCCACAGCAAUGCCAGAUCCGAGCUGCAUCUGCGACCUGCACCACAGCUCGUGGCAAUGACAGAUCCUUCACCCUCUGAGCGAGGCCAGGGAUCGAAUCCGCAACCUCAUGGUUCCUAGUCGGAUUCGUUAACCACUGCGCCACGACGGGAACUCCUGCGUGUGUAUUUCUUUAUGGAAUUUUUUGCCACACCUAAUUCUCUGAAGUAUGCAGUCCCAGGUGUCUCUCUCUCCUAUAAUUUGGGGUUUAAUUUUGCUUUAUCUGUUAAAGCCACAUGUCCUUUAUCAGAUUCAGAUGUUGCUCUUCAGGGUUGCUGGGAGACCUUUUCACAAUUACAAAUGAGUAUUAAAUCGUAUCAAGUGCUCCUUCUUCAGUUACUGAGAUGACGGGGCAUUUUUUUCUCAUUUCACCUGUAACAGGAAAUGCAUUUAUCAGGUUCCUGGCCUUGAAAGCCCACUGUAAGCCAUGGCAAUACCAUCUUUGACGUACCGCCGACCUCACUCGAACAGCCUCUUGAGGCUUUCUGCGUCUAUCCGGAAUGAGACUAGUCUUUUAAUUUUCAUCUUGGAGUUGAGAUCAUGCUAGCUUUCUGUGGUAUGCUUAAGACAGGGAGUUUUCUGCUGCAUGUGCAUUUAGUAAACAUUCGCACGUGAAACCAGCUAGACCUGGGGUGUCUCUGGGCGUGAAUUUUGAGAGCAUACGCUGUGGCUAUAAUGGAGGGACCCCCGAGGGAGAGGGGGCAGGGGCUGGGCCUCUGCUCUAGCUGGGAGGCGGCCCCAUCACGGUGGCAGAGACUCAAAGGCAGGCGGGCGAGGGGGCAGCUUCCUAGAGAAAGGGCCCCCCGUGCCCUGAGUGGGGCUAUGAGCUGGGGAAGCUGCGGCGGCCACUGGGGAUGCUGCAAGCGGCCGGUGGGUCCGGGAGCACACCUGGCUUUCUCUGGUUGGUCCUGAGCUGGCAGCGGGGCGCAAUUAGGGAAGCAGCAGAUAUUGGCCAAGUCCUGGCCGUUUGGGUCCAGCCGCUGCGGGGGCUGUGGCCUGAGUUCUGCCCACAUAUCUGGUGGGCAUCAUCUGAGGGUACAAGUCGUUCUGUUCUAGAGGCUGCCCCAUUCUUCUACCUUCCAAAUGUACUGGCAUCAAAUUGUUUAUAGGAUUUGCUUUGAUUUUUUUUUUUUUUUUUGUCUUUUUGUUGUUGUUGUUGCUAUUUCUUGGGCCGCUUCCGUGGCAUAUGGAGGUUCCCAGGCUAGGGGUUGAAUCGGAGCUGUAGCCACUGGCCUACGCCAGAGCCACAGCAACUCGGGAUCCGAGCCGCGUCUGCAACCUACACCACAGCUCACGGCAACGCCUGAUCGUUAACCCACUGAGCAAGGGCAGGGACCGAACCCGCAACCUCACGGUUCCUAGUCGGCUUCGUUAACCACUGCGCCACGACGGGAACUCCUGAUUUUUUUUUUUUUUUUUUUUUUUUUUUUUUUUUGCUUUAUUAAGGCUACACCCGCAGAAUGUGGAAGGUUCCAGGCUAGGGCUCUAAUCAGAGCUACAGCUGCUGGGAGUUCCUGUUGUGGCUCUGUGGUUAACGAAUCCAACUAGGAACCAUGAGGUUGUGGGUUCGAUCCCUGGCCUUGCUCAGUGGGUUAUGGAUCCGGCGUUGCUGUGACUGUGGUGUAGGCCGGCGGCUGUAGCUCUGAUUGGACCCCUAGCCUGGGAACCUCCAUGUGCCGCAGGUGCGGCCGAAAACAAAAAAGCAAAAAAAACCUUUUCUACACUAAAACGAAAAAUAUAGUUUUAGGAGGACUUUUUUUCCCUUUGGUAGCAUCCUCGGGAUUUUCUGCACAGAAGGUCUUAUUAUCUGCAAAGAGGAACCAAACAGUUUCAUAUCUACCUCCCCAUGUUUCUGGGCCUUUUACUUUCUCUCCUGCGCUGGUAGAACUUUCGGGAGGCUGCUGCCUAAGGGUGGUGAGUGCAGACACCCUCGCCUCAUUCUGAUUUAUAGGGAAGGCAGUUAGUCUUUCAUUGCUAAGAAUCGUGUUGGCUGCAGGCAUUUUGCAUCUACAUCACGAGAGAUGUUUGCGUUUCAUCUUAUUUUGUACUGUCCUUGGUUAUGGUAUCUGGGCAAUCGCAGCUUCAUGAAAUGAAUUGAGAACUAUCCCUUCUUCUAUUUUCUGGAACAUUUUGGUGCAGUUUCUCUUCAAACAUUUGGCGGAAUUCUACACACAACCACCUGGCUUGGAGAGUUCUUUCUUCGGAAGUUUUAAAAGCACGACUUCAAUGUCCAUGAUAGUUAUGAGGCUAUUCCCACGGUCCAUUUCAAAAUGAGCAGGUUGUGCUGGUUUGUGCUUUUCUAGGACUUGUUCCAGUUCAUCUAAGUUGUCAAGUUCCUGUUAUUUUUUCUUUUCUUUUCUUCUUUUUUUUUUUUUUUUUUUUGGCCACCCCUUGGCAUGUGGAGGUCCUGGGCCAGGGAUCAGAUCCGAGCUACAGUGGCAACCUAAGCCGCAGCUGCAGCAAUGCUGGAUCCUUAACCCACUGUGCCAGACUGGGGCUCGAACCUGCAUCCCAGUGCUCCCAAGACACCACAACAGGAACUCCUUUUUUUUUUUUUUUUUUUUUGCUUUUUUUAAGGGCUGCACUUGCAGCAUAUGGAGGUUCCCAGGCUAGGGGUCUAAUCGGAGCUACAGCCGUCGGCCUCCACCACAGCCACAGCCAUGCCAGACCUGAGCUGCAUCUGUGACGUACACCACAGCUCACAGCCACGCUGGGUCCUUAACCCACUGAGCCAGGCCAGGGAUCGAACCCGCAACCUCAGGGUCCCUAGUCGGAUUUUUUCCACUGCGCCACGACGCGAACUCCUUCGUUACGUUUGAAUUAAAGCAUAGUUGAUGUACGAUGUGCCAGUUUCUGCUGUCCAGCAAGGCGACCCAGUCACACGCAUGCCUACGUUCCUUUCUCAUGCUCUCUUCCAUCAAGGUCUGUCCCCAAAGACUGGGCGUGGUCCCCGUGCUGCACAGUGGGGCUUCAUUGCUUAUCCCUUCUAAACGUCAGAGUCUGAUCUACCGACCCCAAACCCCAGGCCACCCCACUUCCUCCCACUCUCUUCCUCGGCGACCACAAGUCUGUUUGCCAAGUUUGUUUCUGUUCAGUAGAUGGGUUCAUUUGUGAUAUAUUUUAUUUUAUUUAUUUUUAUUUUUUUCCCCACUGUACAGCAAGGGGAUCAAGUUAUCCUCACAUGUAUACAUUACAAUUACAUUUUUCCCCCACCCUUUGUUCUGUUGCAACAUGAGUAUCUAGACAAAGUUCUCAAUGCUAUUCAGUAGGAUCUCCUUGUAAAUCUAUUCUUUUUUUUUUUUUUUUUGCUAUUUCUUUGGGCUGCUCCCGAGGCAUAUGGAGGUUCCCAGGCUAGGGGUCGAAUCGGAGCUGUAGCCACCGGCCUACGCCAGGGCCACAGCAACGCGGGAUCCGAGCCGCGUCUGCAACCUACACCGCAGCUCACGGCAACGCCGGAUCGUUAACCCACUGAGCAAGGGCAGGGACCGAACCCGCAACCUCAUGGUUCCUAGUCGGAUUCGUUAACCACUACGCCAUGACGGGAACUCCUCCUUGUAAAUCUAUUCUAAGUUGUGCCCAAGCUCCCGAUCCCUCCCGCUCCCUCCCCCUCCCAUCGGGCAGCCACAGGUCUUUUCUCCAAGUCCCUUAUUUUCUUUUCUGAGGAGAUGUUCAUUUGUGCUUGAUAUUAGAUUCCAGUUAUAAGUGAUAUCAUAUGGUAUUUGUCUUUGUCUUUCUGGCUCAUUUCACUCAGGAUGAGAGUCUCUAGUUCCAUCCAUUUGUGAUAUAUUUUAGAUUUCACACAUAAGUGCUAUCAUGAGGCAUUUACCUUUCUCUCUCUCUCUCUUUUUUUUUUUUGCUUUUUAUGGCUACACUAGUGGCAUGUGGAGGAUCCCAGGCUAGGGGUCGAAUCACAGCUAUAGCUGCCAGCCUACACCACAGCCACAGCAACGCCAUAUCCUUAACCCACUGAGCAAGGCCAGGGAUCGAACCCGCAACCUCAUGGUUCCUCGUCGGAUGCAUUUCCAUUGCGCCACAACGGGAAUUCCUGCCUUUCUCUUCCUGACUUAACUUCACGUAACAUAAUGAUCUCUAGUUGCGUCCAUGUUGCUGCAGAUGGCAUUAUUUUGUUCCUUUUUAUGUCUGAGUCGUAUUCCACCGUGUAUACGUACCACAUCUUCCUGAUCCAUUCAUCUGUCAGUGGACAUUUAGGUUGUUUCCGUGUCUUGGCUGCUGUGCAUCGUGCUGCAGUGAACAUAGGGGCGCAUGUAUCUUUUUGAAUCACAGUUUUCUGUGGACGCACACCCAGAAGUGGG
rnacentral:lncRNA from 1 species